GAGGUGGGAGGACUGCUUGAGCCCAAGGAGCUGGAGGUUGCAGUGGGCUAUGAUCGUACCACAGCACUCCAGCCUGGGCAAAACAGUGAGACCUUGUCUCUGUUUUUUUCUUUUUUUCUUUUCUCUGUCAAAAAAUGUGGGAGAGUUAGAUGACACAAUAUUAAUAUUAAUAAAUAUUAAUAAAAUGGUUACAGCUGGAUGAUAGCUACGGGGGAGUUUAUAACACUGUUGUUUCUACUUUUGUGCACACUUUAAAACAAUAAACAAUGAAAACCAGAAAUGCUAAAAACCCUCACAGCUCCUCAUGUUUCCCUGCUCCUCCCCAGCAACCA
rnacentral:lncRNA from 1 species